UUCUUGGUCACAAUGUACACAAAACCUGUGGGAUCCCAUAUAGAAACUCUGUCUCUCUUUUUUCCUCAGUCCAUAUUUGGAAUAACAACAAUAUAACACUCCUUUGGUAGUUAUAUUUUCUCACCUUCUUUACAGAAGAAGAAAUCCUUACUUAGAAAGGGAAAGAAUACCUCGAAAUUUGUCACUUUGGACUUCAAACAGAGCAGCUGAAGAGCAGCAAAGGCAGGGAAAGGGCUUUCUCUGAUCUACCCUUAACCGACUAAGGCACUGUAUUAGGAUCUGGUGACAUAGUGGGAUAGAAGGACAAAGCCACGCUCUUAUGAAGCUUACAUUCUAGGAUAAUUCUUUGCCAUAAACAUAAACCAAACACUUCCACUAGAAAUGCUGACCAAUGCCUGGAUUCUCUGG
rnacentral:lncRNA from 1 species